rnacentral:rRNA from 1 species
UACGGAGGGUACUAGCGUUGUUCGGAAUUACUGGGCGUAAAGCGCGCGUAGGCGGAUUUGCAAGUCGGGGGUGAAAGCCCGAGGCUCAACCUCGGAACUGCCUUCGAUACUGCAAAUCUCGAGUCCGAGAGAGGUGAGUGGAAUUCCUAGUGUAGAGGUGAAAUUCGUAGAUAUUAGGAAGAACACCAGUGGCGAAGGCGGCUCACUGGCUCGGUACUGACGCUGAGGCGCGAAAGCGUGGGGAGCAAACAGG